rnacentral:rRNA from 1 species
AUGGCGGAUGCGGAGGCGCCCGCGGCGAAGCGGCUGGCACGCGCGGGCAGCUUCUCGGGCGUGUGGUGGAAGCUCGGCGACCCCGCGGGUGACCCGGCCGCGGUCGAGCGCCGGCUGCGCGCAGUCGCCGACGAGGAGGCCGCCGUCCGUGCCCGCAUUAGCAGGCGCCACGCCGGCGCCCGCGGCGUCCGGCGCGGCAUCGCCGUCGCCUCCCUUGCCAUCGAGGUCCGUCCGUCACCUUCUUCAUCUGCUAACUUGUUCAUCCAUCCGUUGCUCCCAUCAGCCGUCAUCUCAUCCCAUCUGAUCACCUCCUGUAAAUUUAUUCACCAGGUGGUGGCGUUGGUGCAUGCUUACUGGACGGCGAGGCGGCGGCGCGUGGCCGGCUGGAGCAGGAAGCUGCUGCUCCUGCUGGCUACUCCUCUGCUCGCCGUGCCGGCCUCGGCCGCCGUCGUCUUGGCCGCGUUCGCCAGGCUCCACAAGAUGUUGGACGCGCGGGACGAGCAGCGGCUGAGGGCGCUGGUGGCGGAGCGCAAGGCCAAGAUCGGGCAGUUCCGCGGCAGCCACCACAACAUGCAGAAGCUCAGCGAGGUCUCCACUAAGUACGAUCCAGAUGCUACUGCUGCUAGUUCCGACCAGCCGGUCGUGGCCGCGGCGGCCGCCGCCUCCGGGAGGAUCAAGCGGAGCCACUCGCGGCUGAGCUUCCACAUCGGAGACGACUGA